ACGGACCCUUCGGGGUUAGUGGCGGACGGGUGAGUAACGCGUGAGGAUCUGCCCUUAGGAGGGGAACAACAGUUGGAAACGACUGCUAAUGCCCCAUAUGCCGAGAGGUGAAAAGUUUUAUCGCCUGAGGAUGAACUCGCGUCUGAUUAGCUAGUUGGUGGGGUAAAGGCCCACCAAGGCGACGAUCAGUAGCUGGUCUAAGAGGAUGAUCAGCCACACUGGGACUGAGACACGGCCCAGACUCCUACGGGAGGCAGCAGUGGGGAAUUUUCCGCAAUGGGCGAAAGCCUGACGGAGCAACGCCGCGUGAGGGAGGAAGGCCUUAGGGUUGUAAACCUCUUUUCUCUGGGAAGAAGA
rnacentral:rRNA from 1 species